rnacentral:misc_RNA from 1 species
UUUUUUAAGAGCAAAGUUGGGCUAAUUUUAUUAGAGAAGAAGAGAAUUACACCUAGUAAGUGCAGGUAUAAAAUGUGCUACUGUAUAAUAAACAGGACUAAUACGAUAAACAAUCAACUCUAGGAACAGUAUUUGCAGAUCUUCCAUGGGCAUUGAAGCAUUUUGAAUCAACCUUCUUGUUUGCGUCUGAAGAAAUAAUGUUGAUUUGAUCCAUAACAAUAUCGAAGCAACCCAAACUUUCACUGCAGGCUAUGCUGAUUGCAGUUUCUGUGAAGGAAGUCCCACUAAAUCUAAGAAAAGAAAUAUCACUUACUUUGACUGCCUUCGUCUGAUUAGCACAUUUGUUAUGAGGGCAAUAAAAUUGGUCGAUGUUAAUGGGAUUUGAAGUAUUAAGUAAUGUGAUAUCUUGAAAUGAGACCUUCCUGACAAAUCCGGAUCCUCCCUGCCAUGUUUUGAUAUGGGCUCCAUUUAAACUUGAUCCAAAUUUGCAAUUCCUCACAUGUACUUCUUCCACUGUAUCACGCUGUCCGUUGUGCCCCAAGCUUCCAAUACUGAUACCAUGGCCUUGAAUGCAAGACACCCCAGAAAUGAAUAUAUAAGAGCAACCAGAAAGAAUUGCAAUACAAUCAUCACCUGUGGAAAUCUGACAAUCCCUAAUAUGGAUAUUUGUUGAGUGAGUGAGGUCCAUACCAUCCGUAUUGGGGCUUGUUUCAGGGUUUGUUAUCUGAAGGUUUGAGAUGCUGACAUGGUUACUAUCUGAUACAGAGAGAAACCUUGCUGGGCUGUUAAAUAUUUUCAGUCCAGAGAUUUGAAUGUUAUUGCAAGUAUGAAUUUUCAUCCCCAUAGGUCUUAUGCAUUUGCUGCUCAUUGCACAUUUCCACCACUCAAACCCUUGCCCAUCAAUUUGUCCAUUUCCUAUCACAUUGAGUCCAUUUACCCUUGCAAAGACAAUCCAACUACCCAUGUAAGGUGUAGUCCAAUCUGACAUUUUACUUGGAGCAACAAUAUUCCCCUGAACCAGAAUUUUAAUGCUAGGGGCCUUGCAUGGACCCAGAAACUUCACAGGAUUAAGCAGAAAUGUCUUUCUGGCUGGUAUUAUGAGAGUAGUUUCUUGUGUAGCUCUGCAAACAGCUUCCCAUGCAUUCAUAAAAGCCUAUAAAGGCCACACCAAACAGAAAUGGUCAUUUAUGAAUUUCUAUUCAUUAAAUUAAAUAAGUUGAUUAAGGUGAGCCCAUAUGAAAGAUGAAAAUUGAGAGCCAAGCAUAAUACUCCAAUUAAUUCUAGGAAAUUAGGUCCGGAAACAAACAUAAACUUGUAGUAACUUUAUUUUAUACUUUGGAAUCAUCUAUAGUUCCAUCACCAACGGCUCCAAAAUCAACUACAUUUAAAGGUUGAGGGAUCAUGCUUGACACCAAUGCAGCCAUGCAUAAGACCAAGAAAAUGGUGUAAAGAUCCUGCCAAAAAAAAAACAAAAAAAGUCAAAAUACUAGAUGUUAAAUUCAAAUCAGUUUGAUGCCCCAAUAGAUAGAAAUAUAGAGAUGUAGGGAUAGCUUAUCUCACCAUUUUAGUAUCCAAGAAAAUAAAAUUAACAAGUAGAAGAUCCCGAAUUAAACCACAACAACAGUAUAGCUUGAAGUUGUAGUUGCAGCUGCACAUCUAUGUUGCCUUCUAUUUAUAAUAUUUUUAUGCUCUAGAAAUGGUAGCUAAAGCUGAUAGUGUUGUAGUAAUGUCUGCUUUCUUUUUUCUAUGUAAAGUGUUAUCCCUUUAUUUACGUUUUCCCAUUAAGAACAUGUAUAAAAGAAAGCAAGAAAUCCCAUCAAAUAAAGAAUCGAAUUUAAUUUGUUGAUUUUUUGUCAUAUAUAUAUUUUUUCUAAGCAUGUAAUGUUGUUUUAUGUUCUAAUUCUUAUCGACUGGGCGAACUCUAAUUAUUAGUUUUUAUUUUUUACUUGUGUUUGAUUUAAACUUCACAAUAAAUUGAUUUAAAAAAUUGAAAUUAUAUUCAUUUUUUAAAAAGAAACGGUAGUAGCUCAUCCGAACACAAGUUCACUGUGCAAGGAACCAGAAGAGUGAGAAGCAAUUACAAGUUAGUUAGACUGGUUACUUGGCCGGAGAAACAUAUGAGUUGGAAAGGUUAUUUGCAACUGUUAAUCUGUUAGCCUUUCUGUUAUCCAUAAAUAAGAGAAACAAAGUUGUAGUUUUCUUCGUUCAGGUGACAGAAUCAUCAACACAAGAAUGUGUCUCUUCCCUUCGAAGCUUUUGCUUUAUUCCAGAAGGAAAGACUUUUUUUGCCUCCUGUAACCUAGGCCGGGCGUUGCAAAUAAAUAGAAAGAGCAAAUUCAAGAGCCUCGAGGCUAGUUCCCUCUACUGUCAAACCCAAGGAUGCACCAAACAUGAGAUAAACACGAUUGUUCAUUGGGAACUCCCUGCAGAAGUGAAAAAGGCUCAAUUAACCCACCCAGCAACGAAGAGCAAUUUCAGCAGCCUCAAAGCUAGUUCCCUCAGCUGCUGAACCAAAGGAUGAACCUAACAUGGGAUAAACGGGAUUGUUUGUUGGAAUUUACUGCAGAAGAAAAGAACAAAAAAGAUCUCAGGUAAACAGUAAUUCCAAUAAAUACAGAGACCACCAAAUAGAAAAGAUUUCUACAAUCAGCAUUGCCACUCCACUGGGGAUAGCUGAUAAACUCAAUGGGUUAGCUACACAUAACUAAAUAGUCUCAUUUAUAGAAAUAAAUAAAAAACAAACCUAAUUAAUUAGAGACUGCACAUAAUGACAGAAUCAGCAACCAUUAUUUUUUUUAAAAGCAUAAAGCAUUCCUACUCUAACAGUAGAUUUAUAGAAUCAAGAUUGCUAAUUUGUUGUGAAUAGCUGAUUAAGCUCCAGUGAUCAAAUAAAGACAACUAAAUAACCUCAGUUCUAGAUAACAAUAGAUCAAAAACAAAAACUAUGGUGGGGAAUAGCAAAAAACAACACAACCAAC